rnacentral:tRNA from 1 species
UUCAGGGUAGACGAAUAGGCAAAGUCAGGAAUUUUUGGUAUUCUUAUUUGGGUGUUCGAGUCACCCUCCUGAAA